rnacentral:lncRNA from 1 species
UAUAUGGGCACCCGGAGGGUUGUGGACUAAGUUCAAGAUUAUGAAAAAAUUGAUGCAAAAUUUCAAUAAGGGCAAAAGAGAUUUCACUUGGAACACAUAAAAUGCCAAAAUUACUGCUUCAGUGUGACAUAUAUGCAAAGCAUAUAUGACCACAUGGGAUUUUAUUGUUUCUAGGAAAUACUGGGCAUCAAACAUAGUUUUCUUCAAUAAGGUAAUUCUGUAAUAAUGGUGUUACUUAUUUAUUUAUUCAUUCUUUCAUUCAAUAUAGGGUUGAUGUGUUGCACAUUUCCAGGGAGCAUCAGUGAUAUCAUCAUCUAUGUGGACAGUGCCCUUGAAGCUGUACAGGACACAACCUUCACAACCAUAUUCAGUUUGAUGAACAACAUAAACUGGCUAUCCCAUGGCCACACCCUGUCCACUGAGCCCUGGAAGUCAAGAAUCUUUAUCUCUAACAAGCCCCUUUCAACAAGCCAGCCUUUGACCUCUGUGAGCUGCCCCAGGGAGCAAAGAAAACAGAGUUUAGACAAGACCCCCACCAUGGAGCUGAAAAGUUAGAAUUUCACCUCUUUGUCUUCGUGAAACUGAGUAGUUGCAAAGAAAGCAAGAGGGGAAACUUGUACAUCUUUCCAAAAGUAAAGAAAAGAGUGAAAAAUAAAUGUGAGUAUAUACUUUUAGAAAUCUCUUUU